GUUUGAUCCUGGCUCAGGACGAACGCUGGCGGCGUGCUUAACACAUGCAAGUCGAACGGUGACGGAUGGAGCUUGCUCUGUCUUGAUCAGUGGCGAACGGGUGAGUAACACGUGAGUAACCUGCCCCAGACUCUGGAAUAACCCCGGGAAACCGGAGCUAAUACCGGAUAUGACACCAACCUGCAUGGGUAUGGUGUGGAAAGUUUUUCGGUCUGGGAUGGACUCGCGGCCUAUCAGCUUGUUGGUGAGGUAAUGGCUCACCAAGGCGACGACGGGUAGCCGGCCUGAGAGGGCGACCGGCCACACUGGGACUGAGACACGGCCCAGACUCCUACGGGAGGCAGCAGUGGGGAAUAUUGCACAAUGGGCGAAAGCCUGAUGCAGCGACGCCGCGUGAGGGAUGACGGCCUUCGGGUUGUAAACCUCUUUCAGCAGGGAAGAAGCGCAAGUGACGGUACCUGCAGAAGAAGCACCGGCUAACUACGUGCCAGCAGCCGCGGUAAUACGUAGGGUGCGAGCGUUGUCCGGAAUUAUUGGGCGUAAAGAGCUUGUAGG
rnacentral:rRNA from 1 species